GCUAUCAUAGCUCAAUUGGAUAGAGCAGCUGAUUACGAAUCAGCAGGUUCCCGGUUCGAUUCCGGGCGGUAGCU
rnacentral:tRNA from 1 species